CACUAUUCCAAAACUUUCUCACAGAAACCGCCGCCCCUUUCCGUCCUUUAGCAUCGGCCGCCACUGCGCCCUCGCGUCCACGCUGGGGGUCCGUUGGAUCAGGUCCCGGCGUCCCGCCUCCCUGGCCUCCGGCAUCAGCCGCCACCGCGCGUUCCGUCGUCCGCCUCGGUCUAGAUUAACACAGAUUGGACUUUUAGGAAAACACAGCCCACGGCUUGCCGCGAUUUAGUUUCCCAAAUCCCAGGGCCGAUGUCAGCCCACGACGAGGACGGCGGCCGCCGCCGCAGGACCCUUGCCAAGGUUUCACUCUCGUUGGUCUCGGCCACCAUGGCGGAGGCCUCCACCUACUCCUUAGACGCAGUCAAGACGCGCCGCCUCCAGUUCCACCGCAGCCCCGGCGGCGCGGGCGGGCGCGGCGUAAUCCGGGUCGCGGCCGAGCUCGUCCGCGAUGGCGGGGUUUAACGGGGCUUAUCCCCCUCCGUCCUCCGCCACCUGAUGUACACCCCGCUUUGCAUCGUGGGGUUCCAGCAUCUUCGGCCCACCCUCGCUAGCGACAGGCGGGAGGUUGGCCUGGUUGGGAAGGCGCUCGCCGGUGGACUUUCAGGCGUUGCUGCGCAGAAGCCGUUCAGAUGCUAAUGACUCAGCUUCUUCCCUAUCCGUAAACGGCUUGUACCAGUCUUCAGUUUUCUGAACUUUAAGCAGAUACCAAUACCAGAAAGACAUGCUACUAUGGCGUGCAAGAAUAAGGCUUUCAUCUGACUGAUCUCGGGAGUGAUCAUGGGCCCUGAAAAAGAUUUUACUCUAUGACCUUCAUGUGAUUGUCCAGCAGUUAGGGUAGACUUUACCGGGAACUGGAUGGAAUUGAGGCCCCGUUUCAAUCUCACGUGAUAAACUUUAGCUUCCUGCUAAACUUUAGCUAUAUGAAUUGAAGUGCUAAAGUUUAGCUUCAAUUACCACCAUUAGCUCUCCUGUUUAGAUUACAAAUGGCUAAAAGUAGCUAAAAAAUAGCUGCUAAAGUUUAUCUCGCGAGAUUGGAACAGGGCCUGAGUCUGUUUAAAUCAUAAGUUGAAAUCCAUUCGAAUCCCUCUGAAUCCACAUGUAUGUUUGUUGGGCUGUGUCUGUCUUUGAGUUUGGUUCAGCUAGGAAGAUAAUAGCUAUACAACCGCCUUUUGCCUUAUUUUUUUCUUCACAUUUUGUUUGUUCGACCUAUGGGGUUCGUCCCUCAAUUUAUGUGAAACCUUUUCUUUUGAAUUAGACCAACUUAUGCAAAACCUACAUGCUAUGUUCCGGAUGAAGGGUGCUGAACACGCUCCCAUACGAAUCCGCGAGAAGUGGGAAGGCGCAGGCGCAGCCGCAACAGGCAACAGCAAGUUCUUCAGGCAGCAUGAAUGAAGACAACAGUCACUAUCCUAUCAUCUGCUAGAGGUGCUACAGUGCGACACUCUAAACACACAAAGGACAGAAGAUGCGUCAAAGCAGAUGUUUUUUUUGCAUCCAUGCAGAGGUGAAACAUGAUUUUGAAUCCUCUCAACUAACGUAUUGAGAUAAAGAAAUUUUAGUUCUACGACAGUCACCGAGUUGUAUUAUAGGAAUAAUUUAGCUGUUGUUAUUACAUUGUUGGUACUACCACCAAAAAUGUUGUACAUUAAGGUAGUGUUUGGUUGGGGAGCGAAGUAGAACGGAACCGUUCCGUCCCAGUUUUAGUGUUGUUUGGUUAGAAAGAAACUAGAACAGAGUGGCUCCAAAAGAAGAAUAUUCCCUCCAGAUCCGGAACCAUCCCGCUCCAAAAAAUUGAGGGGACGGAGCGGCUCCGUUCCCAGCCUGCUCUCCUCACCGCUCUCCUCACCGCGCAGAUUGAUUGCACAAAGAAGGAGAGCCAAGAACAACUGCAGCAAAGGUAUACUUGUAAGAUGAAUUUGCCGCUCUAUUGAUUUGAAUAUACUGUCUUCAUGUGUUGUGAAUUGGUUAUGUAUUUUUUGUUGGCAUAUAGAUGGAUGAGGGCGAUGAUUUUCUAGUCUAUGUAGCUGUUGCUCAUGUGGUUCUUUCGAUGAUGGCAAUUGUUAUUAGAGCUCGAAAGAGAAAACGACACGGUCAUGCACCCGUAGGACAAAUUACUUAUGCUCCAAUUGAUGAGAGGGAUAGGAAGCGAGCUGAGUAUCUCAAUGAUAAAAUUUGGAAGAAUGAUGUUACUUGUGUCAAUAUGAUUAGGCUUAAUAGAGCAUCGUUCUUUCGAUUUUGUAAACUUUUUAGGGAUCGAGGUUUAUUACAAGACACUACACACAUGUGUGUUGAGCAACAAGUUGCUAUGUUUUUACACACAAUUGGCCAUAAUGUUAGGAAUAGAGUAGUUGCCACUAAUUUUGGUAGGUCCGGGGAAACCGUUAGUCGGUACUUCAAUAAAGUCCUUCAUGCAAUUGGAGAGCUACACACCGACUUCAUUAAGCCACCAUCAUCGACGACACCAUCUAAAAUUCAAGGGAACCCACGCUGGGAUCCUUAUUUUAAGGUAGUGUUUGGUUUGUUUGCCCAAAUUAUUUUGAUUAUAGGUAGACUGUUGAGACCUUACAUAUUGUUAUUGUAAUGCUAAAAUAGGAUUGUAUUGGGGCCAUCGACGGAACACAUAUUCGGGCGUCUGUUCCUAAGGAAUUGGAACCUGCGUUUCGUGGUAGGAAGAGUUACACUACACAAAAUGUAAUGGCAGCCGUAGACUUUGAUCUACGGUUCACAUGUGUUAUAGCUGGUUGGGAGGGAACAGCCCAUGACGCUUCAAUAUUACGCGAUGCUUUAGAACGCCCAAAUGGUCUUCGUGUUCCUCAAGGUACAAAAAAUUUGAGUAGAUCAUUUGCGUAGCUCAUUUGAGUAUAUAAUAACUACUGUCCCCUUAUAUGAUUUAGGCAAGUUCUACCUAGUUGAUGCCGGAUAUGGAGCCAAGCCGGGUUUCCUGCCUCCAUAUCGUGGUGUGAGGUACCACUUGAAUGAGUGGGGCAGCAACCCAGUGCAAAAUGAGAAGGAAUUGUUUAACCUUAGGCACUCAUCUCUCAUGGUAACAGUAGAACGUGCAUUUGGUUCUUUGAAGAGGCGAUUCAAAAUUCUUGAUGAUGCAAUACCAUUUUUCCCUUUCCCUACCCAAGUAGAAGCUGUUAUUGCUGCUUGCAUUAUCCAUAAUUGGGUCAUAGAAGAUGGCGGUGAUGAUUUGAUUAUAGCCGAAAAUGAUGACCUCCCUGGCAUUAUCCAUCAAACAUCAACACAUGGACAAGCAACAGAACAUGCCAUCAUGGUUAAUUUUAGGCAAGAACUUGCAAAUGCCAUGUGGCAAGACCGUCAACAAUAUUAUUCUAAUGCACCAUGAGUCUGUAAACCAUCUAUGUACCAUUUUGUUUGUAUUACUCUAUGUACCAUUUUCUUUGUAUUACUCUUGUAUCAUUUUGUUUGUAUGACUCUAUGUUGCUGAAAUUUAGUAUCAUUUUGUUUGUAUGACUCUAUGUUGCUGAAAUUUAGUAUUAUUUUGUUUCAUUUCAAGCUGGAUAUAAUGGAAGGAGAGGUUAAAGGUGGAACUGUUUGGACAGUAAGUCAGAAAGCUUUUGUGCAAGAGUUUCUUGCUAACCUUGUUGCUGAUGGUUCCAAAACAUCAACUGGUUUCAAAAGAGUUCAUCUCAGUGCUUGUGCUAAAGCUUUGAACAAUCAUUUUAAGAUCAAUAGAACUCCUGAACAAAUUGGCAACCACUUGAAAACAUUGAAAAAAAAGUACAUUAGGAUCAACCAACUUAGGAGCAAGAGUGGUGCUAACUGGGAUGAAGAGAACUUUAUCAUCCGAUAUGACCAUGAGAUGUACACAAGUCAUUUUAAGGAUGAGAAUGGAAAGGAGAUCAACAAGGGUGAUGAUGAGUACAUAAACAAGCCUCUUCCAUACUAUGGAAAUCUAGCUACCAUCUUCGGUGAUAGUGUUGCAACAGGUCAAUUUGUGAAGACCUCAAGUGAACCUCUUGCUGUUGAUGUUGAAGAGGAUGAGAUGAAUGUUGGAACACCAUCCAGUACUUCCAUUGACAAAGAAGACACAGCGGGUUCAGGCAAUAGGCCCUCCAAGAGAGCUAAGAAGGAUGAAAAUAUAGUUGAUCCUUUGGUUCACGCCUUUGAACUCGGUACUCAAACCAUAGCUGGUGCUAUACGAGAUGCAGCAUCCAAGAGAGCGUUGCCACCAGGUUUGUUUGAAGCUGUGGAUAGUCUUCCUGGUUUUGAGCUUGAGCACAAGGCUAAGUACUAUUCUUAUUUGCUGAACAAUCCUAAUGUUGCACAAGGGUUUGUGGAGGUGCCGUUGUUGUACAAGCUUAGUAUGCUUACUGAGUUCAUUAAUGGUAAUAUGUAGGCUUGCUAGGAAUACUUCAUUUUGGGUGACAUAAACUAGUAUGUCAUGCUUCUAUGUAUCCAUAAACAAGGCACUUUGGGAAUACUUCAUUUUGGGUGAUAUGAACUUGUAUGUCAUGCUUCUAUUUACUAAUGAACAUGGCACUUUGGAUUA